UUUCCCUUACCGUUAAGUAACCGAAAGUCCGGACGUAGUUCGUACUUAAUUUUUAAGGUUUUGGUUCGUUCGGGGGAAGGGGUAACUACGGAACGGUACGUUUACGUUUUUACGUUUAAAAAAUUAAAAAAAUUAAGGUUUAGUUAACGAACGUCGUACGCUUGAAUACAUUAGCAUGGAAUAAUGAAAUAGGACGUUUGAUUCUAUUUUGUUGGUUUCUAGGAUCGACGUAAUGAUUAAUAGGGAUAGUUGGGGGCAUUAGUAUUCAAUUGUCAGAGGUGAAAUUCUUGGAUUUAUUGAAGACUAACUACUGCGAAAGCAUUUGCCAAGGAUGUUUUCAUUAAUCAAGAACGAAAGUUAGGGGAUCGAAGACGAUCAGAUACCGUCGUAGUCUUAACCAUAAACCAUGCCGACUAGGGAUCGGAUGAUGUUAAUUUUUUAAUGACUC
rnacentral:rRNA from 1 species